rnacentral:rRNA from 1 species
GACGUAGGGUGCAAGCGUUAUCCGGAUUCAUUGGGCGUAAAGAGUUGCGUAGGCGGUCCGAUGCAUUUCACUUGAAAGCCUUAGGCUCAACCUAAGAUUCGGGUGAAAUAUGAUCGGACUUGAAGGAUAAAGAGGGUGCUGGAACUGAUUAUGUAGCAGUGAAAUGCGUUGAUAUGAUCAGGAACACCAAAGGCGUAGGCAGGCACCUGGGUAUCCCUUGACGCUGAGGCACGAAAGCCUGGGGAGCGAAGCAG